rnacentral:pre_miRNA from 1 species
UGAGCGCUCGAUCGAGACGAUCGAGUGAAUGAAUGGUCUUGAUUGAACGUUUACU